GAACCGGGCACGGAGGGGAGGCGCACGCUGGCACAGCCACCAGGGACUAGGGUGUCCCCUCCACCCCAGCUCUGAACGGCUUUGCGUUCCUACCUGCUUAUCCUGGAAUCCAGAUUCCUCCUUAAUCUGCUUGCGGGACGGCCCCCGUGGAAAUGAGCGCUACUCCUCACUAACCAACCUGAACACCUGCGUGCAUGUUCCGGGGCGACCGGGAGACCGAGCUCCCACGUACCGGGUGUUCGCGGACAAGCAGCACCAGGCGGUGUAUGAGUCACCAACACCGAGUCCGUGUGCACCAGAAGGGAGUGUGCUCGAAACCGAAACCGUCACCCAGGACCUGCUUCGCGAACCACAUCCCCGCCCAACACAGGAUGAAGAGACCCCGCUGUGAUCCGUCCCUGGGGCCUUGAACGCUUGUGCUUCCUGGAGCUGCGAAAACCACACACCGUAUGCGGGACGAGGUGGGACCCAGGGAGCGGGUGUACUUACUUUUCUCGCUGGGGAAGGAGUGAGGUCGACCUGCAUGGACUCCACCCUGUUAAAUGACAAGGGGACAGGGGCCAGGGGCUCGUCAGCGAUGCAACACCACCAACCGAGACUCGCGCCACGGGACCUACGCUCACCUACAGGCCCCGUGCUGUCGGCCCGCCUGCCUCGCUGGCCAGCGCCCACGCCCACGGAAGCCUUGUGGCCUGGGCCCCGGCCCGCCCACUCCACAGCCCCCUCCCGGCCCUCGUCCUCACUCCUCUAAUCGGGCCUGAGCUCCUGCAAGGCGGCGACAGGAGUAAACAUCCUUUUUCCUUUCCUUAACGCUUACUGCCCGACCCACACGCUUCACACAAUGAACACUCAACAAGUGUUCGUUCCGACUGAGCCCGAGUCUGACAGGGACGCACCACUCGGGCAGCCUCGUAGGAGAAAGAGCAGAAGAGAGAGAACAAGAAAGGGAGGGAAAGUGAGCUACUGAGCUCCCGCAGGGCGGGCCUGCCGGACAAAGCCAAGGUGAGGGGCGCGGCUCCCCUCAGCCAGGGUGGGUCAGGGUCCGGGGGAGCCACCCGCCCAGCUGCGGUCUCUCGUCCUAGUUUUGUCUGUGCUGGAUUAGUCUCCGAGCCGCCUCCCCUGGCCUGGCCAUCCCGGUCACAGGUCAGUCCCAGGGUUGACACCCGUUGGCGCGGUGUGGUCGCAGGAUGCCCCGCAACGAAUCGCUAGGACUGUGGGGACAGAGUUGUGACCGGCCAGCCAGGACCACACACCUGAUUGUGAGGCUGCGUCCCGCGGGGCAGGCAGGAGCCAGAGGGAGGGGCGAGGUGCCACGUCCUGCACUCGACUCAGGGUCCCUGCCUGUCCACUGCUGACUGGCGGGGUUGGGGUGGCGGUGAGGAGAUGUGCAGGGUGGAGGGAGGAGGGGAGGACCGGAGGCGCGUCAGAGGACGGGCUGUGCGACCUGCCGGAGCCGGCCAGUGACGGUCAGGGACACUGGGGCCGCCCCGCUGCACACGCACCUGUUGGAGGCUGACGAGUCAGGGGGCCGGAGGUGUCCACCUGGCCGUGCCGAAGGAGCUGCAGCAGGGGUCUAAGCGUCAGGCCGCGUUCGCCGGCCUGGCUGCCUCUUCACAUCCCUCCCAGCUCAGGCCCCGUCUCACUUACUCGAAACUGGAGUUUUUAUUGUGCUGAAAGCUGUCUGCUGUGACAAUCUCACACUACACAGAUAGAGAGGGGGUGCUAAUCAGCCGCAAACGUUUACUUUAACGUAACCCAUCCCGGUUACAAUCGUAAGCCGACAAACACAGCCAGAUGCCCCACAGGUGCCCCGGCCCCCAACCCUCGCCAGCUUCCCCCCCCCCAACACACAGCCCUGAGGAGCCCCCCGAGGACACCCAAGUGGCCUGUGGCUUGCUCUAUUGGCUGCGCCCGGUGCUGCGAACAAGCAGGUGCUUGACUACGGGUUGGGGGCAGGCAGCCAUCCGCCUCUGCGGUGUGGGGACCUGGAACCUCCAAGGCCCUCGCUCCUGCCCGCGGCCUCCGUGAAACCAGUGUGCUCUGUGCCGCCCCCCCGCCCCAGGACAUGAAGGUAACAGAGAGCCACCAGUACCAGCGCCCCCCCCCCCGCCCCCCGCCCCGCGGGUGAGUGUGCACCAUGCUGCCCCACCUGGGCUCCUCCUGCUCUGGCGGGGUCGGGGGGACUGGCAGAUGACGUCUGGGAGGGGCGCCCUCCCCGGGGAACGUGUGCGGAGCCAGCCCGCGGGACGGGACGAACCCCCCUGGCCCCGGCCGGGCAGAACAGGCAGAUCUGGACUCCGAGGAGAAACACCACCUGGGACGCGCCUAAACAGAAGGUGGCGACAAAGAUAAGCUGACACCACGGUGGUAAAGAUGACCAGGAACGUUCUAGAAACGGAAAGCUGAACAGCCAAAACGGACCCGAGAUGGAAAAAGUGUGCCGCAGGCAGCUGAGCAGAGCACUGGGACUGGGGGCCCAGGAAGGCACAGGGAGGCUGCAGGGACAGAAGCUACCCGGGAGCAGCUCUGGGCACAGGCCUGCCAGGCUCAGAACAACGGGGCACGAGGCCGCGGGAAAAGAGCAGGAUGUGGAAAGGUGGCGGCUGUGAGUGGCCAGAGCUCACGGAAGACACGAUUCCCCAGCAAGAAAGCAAACUACUCACCCAGAGGGAUGGAUCGGAGACCCCGCGCAGGCGCCUGGCACUCUCCGCCGUGCCGCUCCCCUCCCGUCCCCUCCCCUCCCCGAACUGAGCAGGGCCGCGCACCCUCACGUCCCUCAGGCUCUCCGAGUCUGCUGCUGUGAUCUCUUGGGAAUGAGGCAGGACCCCUGAGCACACGCUCACACUGGUGUCGGCUUGGGGGCCCCUUCACCCCGGACGGGGCCCCAAGGUGACGGAGAGACUUCCAGAGGCCCAACGCGACAGGGCAGCAAGUGCCCACUUACAGCGCGUGGGUCAUCCCUGCACACAUGACCAGCCGGAUGGACGCCAGUCCCCAGGGCCGCUGGCUCUGCCACCUUUACCCUGACGUUCGGCCUACCAAGCUGGGAAGAGCCACCACAUUAGCACAGCUCACGAGACCUCGCCCCGUCUCAGAACAGCAGGCACCGUGGACAGCGGGAGCCCCCCGCGGCCACUGCCCCAGGGCACGCCACGGCCUCCGCACGUGGGGCACACGCGCUGCGCGUGUUCACCUGUCACGGACCCCAUGGUUCCUGGCAGAUGCGCACGGGGCCCCGGCAGAGCCUGGCCGUGGGGCGCCUCUGCCUCAGGGAUCUCGGGGAGCCCCUGGGGGGUUUUCACAUUUUCCCUUCUGUCUCCCUUGGCCUCCCUUCACCUCCUACUGGACUGCUGCUCUGACAGAAGCUUGUAGUAAAGGCAAGUGCUCUUUCUCCGGCCCCCUUCGUUACAACAAGGUCUCAGACAGAUGGCCAAGGGCACAGCACGGUCGGCUGCCCUGUUCGCACUCUAGAGAGAACUCACCCCUGCAGCUGUUCCAACCGCAGCACUGACUUCCGAAGGGACUCUUCCAGCUUUGAGAUCUAAACACAACCAGAGUUCUGGUCACCAGGCGGUGUAGGCCAACCUACAGUGUUGAGAGCACGUGCUGACCCUCUGAACGUCUUAAACCACAAAUCAGAAUGUGGGAGGCAUGGGAGCUGUCCUCUUGCUGCUUGAGUGAAUGUGCACUGAGAGCAAGCCACCAGAGGCCCUGGGGACCAGCACUGGGACGCCAGCACGAGGCAGCCUCACCCAGGUGCUCCCGGACCCUCUGUCUACACUCGAGAAGGCACUGCUCUGAGUCAGAAGCUCGAUUAACGCUGCUCUCACUAAAGCUUUGCUUUCCUUUCAUUAAAGGCGAGUACUUACAA